rnacentral:tRNA from 1 species
UCCCUGGUGGCUCAGAUGGUAAAGCGUCUGCCUACAAUGCAGGAGACCCGGGUUCGAUCCCUGGGUUGGGAA